rnacentral:rRNA from 1 species
AGACGAACUGUUCUAACGUUAUUCGGAAUCACUGGGCUUAAAGGGCGCGUAGGCGGUUUUUUAAGCGGGGUCUGAAAUCCCUCGGCUCAACCGAGGAACUGGGCUUCGAACUGGAGAACUAGAGUGUAGUAGGGGUAAGCGGAACUUGCGGUGGAGCGGUGAAAUGCUUUGAUAUCGCAAGGAACACCGGCGGCGAAGGCGGCUUACUGGGCUUCAACUGACGCUCAAGCGCGAAAGCUAGGGUAGCGAAAGGGAUUAGAUACCCCUGUAGUCCUAGCCGUAAACACUGAGCGCUUGCUCGAGGGGGCUUGUCCUUCUCGGGCGUAGCGAAAGUUUUAAGCGCUCCGCCUGGGGAGUAUGGUCGCAAGGCUGAAACUCAAAUGAAUUGACGGGG